UUGUUGGUAUGAGGUGGUUUUGGUUCAACCUCGAAAAAGGUGGGACUGGGGUUUUUUGCUUCUUUUACCAAUACAUUUUCUUUUGGCAACAUGUAUCCAAUCACCAGUGUAGUAUCUAACAUGCAUUUGAAUUUUUGGCUGGAAAAUUUUCUUCCUGUAACUUUGCAUGCUAAGUAAUCGACCUCAGUCCGAGCUCUCCAAUUAGGCAGCAAUGUAGCAGUUUGUCCUCCAUGCUUGAUUAAGAAACACAUCAUUUGCAGUUUAUCUUUCAAAAGAAUAGAGCGAGCCAAAAGACUUCCUGGUGACCCAUGGGCUGAGUUAUGUCUAUUCCUAACAGAGCGAGCCAAAAGACCUCAAGUAGCCCAAAGGCCUAAUGACUAGGCACAUCUAAGCCUACCAUUCUUGGAUAUGUACAUCUCAUAAUCCAAGCACAUAAAAAGAGCCUGUGGCCGGCAUUGCCAUGCGAGAAGUCAUCGUGUGUGAAAGGUGGCCAAGCUCUAUUAUUUUACAGUGGAAUCUUCUUAAUGGCGUUGGGAGGGGGCGGGAUUCAAGGGGCACUUCUAGCUUUAGGUGCAGAUCAGUUUAACCAAAAGGAUUCCAAGGAGCUUUUUUUUUUUUUCUCGAUAGCAGGCACAUUUUUUAAAGAAAGCUCAGGGUCUUUGUCUUCUCUUUCCGAAAGGUUCUCUGAUGGGCAGGUGAAUUUGAAUUUCCUUGGAGUUUUAUUCUCUCUGUCAUUUUGGGGUAGGCGAUUUUGAUUUGUGCAAAAUGUGGUUAUUGAAAGUGUCUUUCAUGCAAGCAAUGGAUAAUCUAUUGGAAAUUAUUUGCAUCGAUUUGGAGGUGGCUUGGCAGGUUGGAUUUGGGCAAUUUUGGAGCUUUUGAAGGAAACAAAUAUUCGCAUGCUUCCCCUUUUGCAAGAAUAAUGGAGGGUGGUUAUGCUCGGUGGCUUCUACAAGUAAAGUUGUUUUCUUGUAUUUCUUUGUACUUCACCGUUUAGCAUAUAGAUUGUGGAACCACAAUAUGUUUACUUAGCAGCAACCAUGUCUGAACAAAUGUAUUAUUAUUAUCAUAUCUAUUAUUAUUAUCAUCAUUAUUAUUUGUUUCUCUAUUGCUUUCUCAUAAUUCAAUGCUUUAGUUUCAGCAUAUCCUAUAAUGUCCAAUGUUAAAAUGUCUCUUCAUCCACAUUAACUUUCUCUUCUUUAACAAUCCUAUAGCACAUUCAUGUAAUUUUUAUAUGUACUUUGUAAUUGUGGGUGUUAUAUCCGUAUCCAUGGCCAUGAUAUGUUAUUAGUAUUAUAUCAAGCAACCUCGGGGGCUACGAAGGUUCUGCUUGUUGUAGGUGUAAAUGUAGAAAAGGAUGAAUUUUGUGUUGUACAUUUGACUUAAUUACAAAUUUAAAUUCAUGUUUUCAGCUAGAAAAAGGUGUAGAUGGGCUAUUUGAUAGUUUUGCUAGAUUGGAUUCACGUGUCUCUAGCGUGGGACUGAUGAUGCAGAAAAACUGAAUUCUUCUACUUGUGGCAAGCAGAGGAUCCAGAUUCAUGUUAACCCUUCUGUCUUUUGCUGUUUUAUUUUUGAGACAAAGAUUACCAGAUUUUGUUCUGAGACACUGUUUUUGUCAUCUAAAAAACAUAAUUUCUUAUCAUUGAUUUAUGUUCUCUUAUUUAGUAAUUUUCAGGUAACAAGUUUUAGAAAUUCCAAUCUUAGUUCUAUAAAAUGGUUGUACAUCUCGUUUGAAUGAUCAAUAAAGUUACAAGUGGUGUGUUUCCACUUUUCUGGGAAAAAAAGUAUUGUAUUUUUUGUGUGCAUGGUGUUUUUUUUUUUUUUUUUGACUACUGCUGAUAACAUUGUAUUUACUAUUUGCAUAGGAAAAGGGCUCAGAUGAAAUUGUCUUCAAGGUGAUGGGAAGAGCUAUAAAUAAAAUUGUUAUGAUCGUGGAGCUGAUUAAGUUGGUGCUAGGUGUCACAAAGUUCGUGAUAGCAGAACUGCUUUACUUGCAAUGGAUGGGAUCCAAACCAGCCAAUUUAUCUUUACAUCAAUUCAACUGGAACGACUCAUGAUGAGGGUGAAACGGUAUGUUGGUUCUCAUUUCCAACUUGGCUUAGUCUUAGACUCAGUUGGACAAGGUUAUAGGUGCUUCAAAUUUAAGUUUUCGAAUCUCUACAGUUCCAAUUUUCAGAGCAACUGUUGAAUUUGUUCAA